rnacentral:rRNA from 1 species
CUACGGGGUGCUGCAGUGAGGAAUAUUGCACAAUGGGGGGAACCCUGAUGCAGCAACGCCGCGUGGAGGAUGACGCAUUUCGGUGUGUAAACUCCUUUUAUAUGUCAAGAAAAUGACGGUAGCAUAUGAAUAAGCACCGGCUAACUCCGUGCCAGCAGCCGCGGUAAUACGGGGGGUGCAAGCGUUACUCGGAAUCACUGGGCGUAAAGGAAGCGUAGGCGGGUUGGAAAGUCAGGUGUGAAAUCCUACAGCUUAACUGUAGAACUGCACUUGAAACUUCUAAUCUAGAGUAUGGGAGGGGGAGAUGGAAUUAGUGGUGUAGGGGUAAAAUCCGUAGAUAUCACUAGGAAUACCUAAAGCGAAGGCGAUCUCCUGGAACAUUACUGACGCUAAGGCGUGAAAGCGUGGGGAGCAAACAGGAUUAGAUACCCCAGUAGUC